rnacentral:rRNA from 1 species
UACGUAGGCAGCAAGCGUUGUUCGGAAUUACUGGGCGUAAAGAGUGUGUAGGCGGUGCUCUAAGUUCGGUGUGAAAUCUCCCGGCUCAACUGGGAGGGUGCGCCGAAAACUGGAGUGCUGGAGCGCGGGAGAGGAAAGCGGAAUUCCUGGUGUAGCGGUGAAAUGCGUAGAUAUCAGGAGGAACACCGGUGGUGUAGACGGCUUUCUGGACCGUAACUGACGCUGAGACACGAAAGCGUGGGUAGCAAACAGG